AGGUGGAGAAACCCCGUGGCAGGCAGCGCCGUCAGCAGCUGGAGCUGGAGGCGCUUCGGGCCCGGCUGGCACAGGCAGAGCAGGACAUGGAAACUGUGCUGUCCUGCGCACGGCAAAGGGAGGAACGGCUCCGGGCCCAAGUGGAGGCGCUGAGGAGCCAGAACCUCUUCCUGGUGCUGGCCCUCAAGG